UACCAGCACCCCGAGUGGUCGGGACGAUUAUUGGGCCUAAAGCAUCCGUAGCCGGUUUUACAAGUCCUCCGUUAAAUCCAGCUGCUUAACAGAUGGGCUGCGGAGGAUACUAUAAGACUAGGAGGCAGGAGAGGCAAGCGGUACUCAGUGGGUAGGGGGUAAAAAUCCGUUGAUCCAUUGAAGACCACCAGUGGCGAAGGCGGCUUGCCCAGAAUGCGCUCGACGGUGAGGGAUGAAAGCUGGGGGAGCAAACCGG
rnacentral:rRNA from 1 species